CGUAAAGCGCAUGCAGGUGGUUUGUUAAGUCAGAUGUAGAAACGGCCCGGGGCUACAACCGUACGGUAAUUGCUAUUUAGAAACGUGGACAAACUAGAGUACUGUAGAGGGGGUAGAAUUUCAGGUGUAGCGGUGAAAUGCGUAGAGAUCUGAAGGAAUACCGGUGGCGAAGGCGGCCCCCUGGACAGAUACUGACACUCAGAUGCGAAAGCGUGGGGAGCAAACAGGAUUAAUACCCUGGUAG
rnacentral:rRNA from 1 species